UGAAUAGAUUUUUCCAAAAUUAAAACCGCGAAGGGUGAAGCAGGUUAGUAGGACGGCUGAGACUCUUACAAGUUACAACGACAGUGAUAUUUGCAGCAACUAAUCGGGAAAGGCAGGUAUCUAAUUUGCAGCAUUUUCUUGGUAAAAAUGAACUUCUCUGAGGCAACUACAUCCAGCUCUAGGUUUUCCUGGAAUUAUAAGUGGUUUAUUUUUUUAUUUUUUGUUACUACGUCAAUUCGUGGCUGUCAAUUGUUUGGUGUCCGUUUAAUCCCCUCCCCCCUCCCAACCCAUAAAAAAAUAAAAAAUGAAUGGAACCAAAGCCGUAUAGCGCACCAACUGUUUGGUAAAAUUCCUCCAAAAUGCCAAUAACCACUCUGCGAGGGCCUCGAGCUCAAAUUUGUUGUCACCACACUGGCACUGCUAGGUGGUGAUUUCCCUAUAUAUAACAGUAGUCACCAUUUUCACUGUUUACCCCACAAGUUCGUUCCUCCGAACUGGCGUAUCACCAGCACCACCACCACCACCACCGCUGUCAUUUCUGAUAUAACAAACAAUGUAACCACCAAGGACCCACCACCAGCAGUACCAUUAUUGUGCUCCCUUAAUCGAUGUUGCGUCCACCUUCUCCACUUUUCUAUCACUUCGUCACUUUCACUACAAUGGUUUCCACUGCCUGGCUAUUGCUUUUCCUUGAAUCACCAACAUGGUCCCUGCAACCAUGUUUUGAUGCCAUAGGAAUUGCUGCCACCAUUGCCACCACCUUCACGGUAAUCAUUGCCACCCAUCCCCAUCUAUACACUGAAUGCCACCAUAACUAAUGGCAACAUUGGUUUUACCUCGUUUUGUUCUGCUAAUGGUUUACCUCUAGCAUACAUUUGUUUUUAUCAAAUGAGCUGCUGCCACUACUGCCACCAUCUUCACUGCAAUGAUUACCACUCAUUCCCACCUAUACUCUCAAUGCCACCAUUACUUGUGGCAUCAUUGGCUCCACGUCUUUCUAUUUUUUAGCAAACAUUAUAUUAAAUUUAAAGGAGAAAUACAAAAGAAGAGGGUAGGCCCUGAAAAAAUAUCUUUUUACAACAAAUAAAAUACAUGGAAAUUAAAAACAAAGGGCCCAUGGAGGCCAGAAAAUAAUCUACACUCAAAUUGUAACACCACAAUAGAAGGCCCAUCUUGUGUACCAUUUUGUGUACUUGGGCUAUGCCUAUUCAUAUAAAUAUAAUCGUUUACUUAUACAAAAAAAAAAUAGAAGGCCCAAACCACUUGACCUAUACUUCAAAAGAAAUAGUCGAUGAUACAAUUGGAGCCCCAUUGAAACAUUAUAAAGAGUAAAAACUUCUAUUUCCCAAGUUAUGUGGGAUCCCAUACACCACUUACCCUCACUUAUCAUAUGAGGUAUCACAAUCUCCCUUUUAAAUUCCCGAAGUCCUCUUUGGGCCCGUCCGUCAUAGGUGGCACAACUCAAGUCCCAUAUUUCUGACUGGGAUAGGGUCAGAUAUUAUUUGUAACACCCCAAUGGAAAGCUCAAACCACAUGGUCUAUACUCCAAAGGACUAAUCAAUAAUACAAUUGAGACCCCAAUUGGAAUCUUACAAAGAGUAAGAACUUCUCAUUCCCAAGCAAUGUAGGAUCUUAUACACCACCUACCAUUAUCUUUAUCCUAUGGUCUAGGCUCAAAUUCUUCAAUGGAGUCAAGGAGGGAACUACCAUAAAGGUGUUUUUUUUAUACAAUCAUUGCUAUACUUUGUUUGAAAGCUGCAUCGGCUAAUACUGCACCAAACUUGACUGCUUUGAGAAGUACAAUGAGUUUGAUGGAAAGGAAAGUAUGGAUGUCUACUUUCAACAAAAAGAGGAGAAAGCACGACAGAUUGUCUCUCAGAUUGAAAAGAAAUACCGUCAAGAUGUUGCGAGGAAUGGUGAUGUUUGGGCCCCUCCAGAGUGUAGGCCAUACCCUCCAAGCGUGGCAUUGGUUUGGUGGCAUGAAAUUAUCUAAUAUAAGGUAACCUGACCAUCAUAGAAAGAAGAGGUAGGAUGGGAGCAUCUGGUGAGAUUCAGUGAAGAUCUGACAUUACAACAGGGGGAGAUUGGAUCCAGAUACAAGGAACUAUCAAAAUACAUUAUAAAUUGCCUGAAUUUCCCAGAAGGAUUUUCCAAUAUGGACUGAAGAUCCAAAUUGAGUGGCUCUUGAAGGAUUUUCCAAGAAUCGAUGGGAAAUGGUGGUCUGGGGAGGGGAUAACGGAGCUUCUUCCCCUCCCUGGAAAGAGCUGGCCGGAAUGGGUUAGUAGGUGAGAGUCAACUGGGUUGAUACUGUUGUCUGGUUUAAUCUCCAGAAUUCAAAGUCUUGCCUUUCUUCUUAGAGAAACCAGUUUCCUCUUCCACAGAUCAACACUUCUUCAUUUGUGACCUUUAUCCUCUAUAACAAUUUACCAACGAUGGAAUGAAACAUGUUCAUCAAAGCCUGAUAUACAUGGUAGCAUGCAUCGUGUAUCUUUGUUUCCUCUCUUACCUUCUAUGGAACAUAUUAGAGUCCAAACUGAAAUAUUGAGAGAACUUUUUGGCAGCAGAUGGAGGAUUUAGAUUGAAUUACAUAGGAAUUUAGCUUGGUGCUAGUCGACCUGAAUGCCUAAUUUUAUGGGCUAUAAGUGUUAAAGUAUUUAACCGUGAAGUGUACUAAAGAUUCCUCUGAGGAUGUUUGUAUAUCCUGCUGUCAAGUCUAUAAAUUGUUAUGAAUUGUUAUAUUUAUUAUAUGUCAUGGUCCCCUGAAUUUCUCUACUUGUUUAUAUGUCUUAUUUCGUGUGGUGAACUGAGCCUUUUGCUAAAUUUGAUUGACAGGGAUGCAAGCAAAAGUCCACCUAUGGUAUCAAUUGUUGGUCUUCUUCAAUAUCAUCAGUAGUUGAAGUUUUGCAUUAAUAGGCUUUAGUUAUCUUUGAGAUUCCUUCAAGAGGAUGUACCAUAUUUUCUUUUUACAUAAAAUAAUCCAUAAGCUCGAAAUUGCAUUUUUGAAAGUUAUUUGUUGCAAGAUCUUUUAAUUAAGUCUUGAGCUUUUCUAUCAUUUGCUACUAGCUACUUCCCUAAGGCAUGGUGUGUCUUUUUCAUUGCAUCUGCUCACAGCUUCUUGCUUUUAUUAAAGGAUGCAACUACUGUAUUGUGUACACAGCAUCUGGAGAAGCUUCAGCACUUUUUGUAUAAUUUGGCUGAUAUGUUAAUCUCUUUGGGUUGUUGACUGUAAGCAGCUUUCACAUUCAAUGUCCCAUCGCCAAAUCAAUAUAGGAAUUGUCCAUACCUUCUCAUUGAGCAGAAGAGUCUUUUCCUUGACACACAACUCAAACAACAAAUGGUCAAGAGCAGGAACUUGCUCUUUUUGCAGGAAUCUUACAGCACUGAUGGAACAAAAGUGCUUUCUUUACUACUUGCAAUAAAAAUAUAUAUGAAGUACUUUCUUUACUUGAUUUAUUCAUUAACAUUGUCCAGCGUAUCAAUGCUAGAUAAGGGUUUCAUCUGAUGUAAAUUCUGUUUCACUUGUAGUACUCUGUUGAUUUACAAAUUAUGACGUUCUAUCUAACAAUGAGAUAUGGUUUUUGUUCCUUUA